UACGUAGGGGGGCAAGCGUUGUCCGGAUUUAUUGGGCGUAAAGAGCGUGUAGGCGGCCUGACAGGUCUGCUGUGAAAACUCGAGGCUCAACCUCGAGAUGUCGGCGGAAACCGUCUGGCUAGAGUCCGGAAGAGGAGAGUGGAAUUCCUGGUGUAGCGGUGAAAUGCGCAGAUAUCAGGAGGAACACCAAUGGCGAAGGCAGCACUCUGGGACGUGACUGACGCUGAGACGCGAAAGCGUGGGGAGCAAACAGG
rnacentral:rRNA from 1 species